GACGAACGCUGGCGGCGUGCCUAAUACAUGCAAGUCGAGCGCAGGAAGCCGUCUGAACCCUUCGGGGGGACGAACGGUGGAAUGAGCGGCGGACGGGUGAGUAACACGUAAAGAACCUGCCCAUAGGUCUGGGAUAACCACGAGAAAUCGGGGCUAAUACCGGAUGUGUCAUCGGACCGCAUGGUCCGCUGAUGAAAGGCGCUCCGGCGUCGCCCAUGGAUGGCUUUGCGGUGCAUUAGCUAGUUGGUGGGGUAACGGCCCACCAAGGCGACGAUGCAUAGCCGACCUGAGAGGGUGAUCGGCCACACUGGGACUGAGACACGGCCCAGACUCCUACGGGAGGCAGCAGUAGGGAAUCUUCCACAAUGGACGAAAGUCUGAUGGAGCAACGCCGCGUGAACGAUGAAGGCUUUCGGGUCGUAAAGUUCUGUUGUAAGGGAAGAACAAGUGCCGCAGGCAAUGGCGGCACCUUGACGGUACCUUGCGAGAAAGCCACGGCUAACUACGUGCCAGCAGCCGCAGUAA
rnacentral:rRNA from 1 species